CUUCCAUCUUCUUCCAAUGAAAAAUACAUACAAAAUAUUAUUGCCGGAGGAACGGCAGUUUGGAACUGACUAAAUUUGUUUAAAAAUAAAGUAAAAAUGGUAAUCCAUUUAUUGUUGAGUGUAAUCCAUGGCCGAGUAAUCCAAAAUCCUUCUGUUGGGCAUCCAGUCCAUGUCUUCGCAAUCCUUCUGCCAUAACCUUUCGCGAGCACCGUCAACAAACGUUUGACUGCCUUGACUUGUGGGCUGUCGGCUUUUUAUACAAAUUUUUGUACCUCUUGGAAUGGUUGCCCAGUUUAAAAGGAGACGCAGAAAAUUUGAAUAUGCGCACUCGAUGUGCGCGACACUG
rnacentral:lncRNA from 1 species